UUGAAGAAGGCGAGGGAGAGGGACGCGGGACCAGAGGUGCAAGAGGUGGACGAGGGUGAAAGAUGGAGGAGAGGGACGACAAGCGCGGUCGGACAUCGCCGAGAAGAGGAGGAGGAUGAGGAUCGGGGACGUCUCAUCAAGUGCUUUCGGAGGAUGAAAAAAGGAGGCAAAGAUCAGGCAAGGAGGAAGACCGAGGGGACAGAGGGAAGGGGUAUGGGGCGAGUUCCCAUUUUUUGGAGGGAAAAUGAGCACAUUCAAAUUUGUGCAGGCCGGACCCGCAGAUGCGCGGCUGCGAAUGGCGGGUGAGAUUUAUAGAUGGGAGCUGAAGGAAGUGACAAGUCAGUGUGGGAAAUAUGUAUAGAGAAAGAGCUGGGGUGGUUUGGCAGGGGGCGAGGUGGGGGCUGGGGAGGAUCAAGAGCGAGUGAGCAUUAAUAUGCUAAUGGCUGGAGUGAAUGCACAACAGGCCCACUGACCAGGCUAAUCACUAGUGGACACACACUGCAGCUAAUCCCUCAUGCCGUACUCACACUCACGUAGUUGCAGGCACACACAUGCACGCACACACCUCCAGUUUGAAAUGAUGAAUUCAGAGUGAAUACAUGAACAUGUCUUCGCAAACGUCCAAAGUUGUUGUAUGUUUUCAUGUUAUCGAAGAGAAAAUUAAAAAUGAAACCAACCUCAA